rnacentral:rRNA from 1 species
UACGGGGGGGGCAAGCGUUGUUCGGAAUUACUGGGCGUAAAGGGCUCGUAGGCGGCCAACUAAGUCAGACGUGAAAUCCCCAGGCUCAACCUGGGAACUGCGUCUGAUACUGGAUGGCUUGAAUCCGGGAGAGGGAUGCAGAAUUCCAGGUGUAGCGGUGAAAUGCGUAGAUAUCUGGAGGAAUACCGGUGGCGAAGGCGGCAUCCUGGGCCGGCAUUGACGCUGAGGAGCGAAAGCCAGGGGAGCAAACGGG